rnacentral:misc_RNA from 1 species
AAGACUAUAGACCUGCGGAGUACCUGCGGAAGGAUCAUUAGUGAACGCCCUCACGGGCUUAUAACUAUUCCAAACCUCUGUGAACCGUGCCCUUCGGGGCUAUUUUACAAACAUGGUGUAAUGAACGUCAUAUAUCAUAACAGAACAAAACUUUUAGCAAUGGAUCUCU